rnacentral:lncRNA from 1 species
UUGUUAAUAUCCCCAGUAAUAUUUUUUUAUUUUUUGCUUGGCAGGCAUUUUCUUGAAGUCAAGCUUGACAAGUCAGCAUGAAGAGUUCUCCACAAGUAGCAGAUCAAACAGAUCAAAAUAUUGCCAUAAAAACAGUUUCUGUUAGACUCUGAGACAUGCAAGGGAAAGCCGUGUGAGGACAGAGCCAGAAGACAGCCACCUGCUGGGAGGAGAGUCUCACCAGAAACUGAAUCUUCCAGCACCUUGAUGCAGGACCUCUAGCUUCUAAAACUGUGAUCUCACUUGACGGUUCCAGUAGAAUGUUCCACAGACAUCUCAGACUUCGCAGGCACGGGCCAGGGGCUUAAAUGGAGGAAGAAAAACCAGUUUCCGAUACCUGAUUUUCCCCAUAUGACAGAGACACAUUGCUUCUCUAUUUUCACUACACAACAGUACGCUGAUGGGAUCCACUCAGAGUGCACGUGAAAUCCAG